UAUAUAGUUGACACAGCAUAGGUUUCUGACACAAAAUGAAUGGGGUCUAAUGAACUUAAAAUUAUUUUUUUCCCUUCUGAGCAAUUCACUUUGCUGUUGAAUAUUAAUCCUCUCAAAAAAAAAUAUUUGAAGAAAUUUUCUUUUUAAUUUCUGAAAUCUGAAAUGAGAAAAAUUGACCCCCCCCUCCCCCUUUCCCUUAUUCCAAAAAUGAUCUCAAUUCAAAUUUCUAAUGGAGUUUGCAACAAUAACUACUCAUUUAAAUACAUCAUAAAAUAUUAAAAUAUAAAAUGUCAUAC
rnacentral:lncRNA from 1 species